rnacentral:rRNA from 1 species
CACGUAGGCACCAAGCGUUAUCCGGAUUUAUUGGGCGUAAAGAGCUCGUAGGCGGUUCGGUAAGUCGGGUGUGAAAACUCUAGGCUCAACCUAGAGAGGCCACUCGAUACUGCCGUGACUAGAGUACGGUAGGGGAGCGGGGAAUUUCUGGUGUAGCGGUGAAAUGCGCAGAUAUCAGAAGGAACACCAGUGGCGAAGGCGCCGCUCUGGGCCGUAACUGACGCUGAGGAGCGAAAGCAUGGGUAGCAAACAGG